CCAAAUGCUAGCAUGCAGUUAAAUUGGAGAACAGAGAGAAGCUCAAGUCAUUCCAAGAGGAAGAACCAAUGUCAUCGUCUCCUUGGACGGUACAUAACCGUCCUGCGACCAAUCCAUCAACAAAUUACCCCUAAAAGCCAUCACUUUAUGGAAUUAUCGGUCUGAAACCUAUGAUCGUGCGCCGAAUUUUGUACAUUCAGUCAUGAAUUGGCAUCAAAUAGGGAUAGCAACCUGCAUAACAUCCAAACCUCUGGUUUCAAGACUCCUAAAUAAAGCAAUACAAUUGACUCAAAAUACUCUGAACUUAACUAAAUAUUUGAUUUGUUACAACUCCAAAUAGAUGAAACUUACAGCUUUAUUAUUGUUGUUGUAAUUGACUCAAAAUACUACUUCGGAAAUAAGGAUACCCAAAGGAGGGUGCGGGUGCUGCAGGAGGAGGUCGGCUAGUGGUCGAACUUUUUGCGGAGGUACUCUUUAAAGAACUGGCGGCGCGCCUCGGCGCGGGCUUGCUGGGGAGCAAUGUUGGCGUAGGAGAGGUUUGAUCCGACGGCGAUCAGCACGACGCCCAUCCCAAACACGCCCGCCGUGGCCGCCAGCUGCUUCGGCGUCGGUGGGAAGUUCCACACCAUCGUUUCCGUUCCACGGUGACCAACGCGUGCCGUCUAAGUGUUCGAUGAAAUGCCUAAAGCAGCAUAACUCGACCAACUCCCUCCUCGAUGGACCGAACCGGGCCUGAUUGUUCUUA
rnacentral:lncRNA from 1 species